rnacentral:rRNA from 1 species
CGGUGCGGACACGUGUGCACCUGCCUUUAUCUGGGGGAUAGCCUUUCGAAGGAGAUUAUUACCCCAUAAUAUGUUGAAUGGCAUCAUUCGACACUGAAAACUCCGGUGGAUAGAGAUGGGCACGCGCAAGAUUAGAUAGUUGGUGAGGUAACGGCUCACCAAGCCUACGAUCUUUAGGGGGCCUGAGAGGGUGAUCCCCCACACUGGUACUGAACCGGACCAACUCCUACGGGAGGCAAGUGAGGAAUAUUGGACAAUGGGUGAAGCCUGAUCCAGCCAUCCCGCGUGAAGGACGACUGCCCUAUGGGUUGUAAACUUCUUUUGUAUAAGGGAUAAACCUACCCUCGUGAGGGUAGCUGAAGGUACUAUACGAAUAAGCACCGGCUAACUCCGUGCCAGCAGCCGCGGUAAUACGGAGGGUGCAAGCGUUAUCCGGAUUUAUUGGGUUUAAAGGGUCCGUAGGCGGAUCUGUAAGUCAGUGGUGAAAUCUCACCAGUUAACUGUGAAAACUGCCAUUGAUACUGCAGGUCUUGAGUGUUGUUGAAGUAGGCUGGAAUAAGUAGUGUAGCGGUGAAAUGCAUAGAAUAUUACUUAGAAACA